UAUUUAAGUCUCAAUCUGAGCUAUAAAAAGCCAGAAAAAAGUACGUACCCAGGAGUGUAUUCAUAGACCAAAUCUCUGUUUAGUUGAUUUUAGCCCCCGCUCAUGCUUUUAACAUACUCAAAUUUAUGCACAAACCAUACAGACCAUAUCAUGUUUUCUAUACUAUUCUUCACUAGAUGCCUAUCCUUACCAUGUGUCCCAGCAAUGUCAAACUCAGAAGUUAUGAUCUGGUAGAACUGCAAGACAUACAUACCAGCCGUGACUGUGGAUGUUGUACAACUUUGCAAACACUGCUGCAUUAAGCAAGACUGAUUAUCUGUGAUGUAAUGCCUUAAAUGCAAACUUCAAAUCUGAUAUCGCUUUUUUGGCCUCCUUUUAACAUUAUUCUUGGUGUCUUGGAAUGACUAUCUGGGUUUCUAAACAUUAGAAAGCAUAGUUUUACACUGCGGUUCAAUGUGGCUUUUAUUUUGACAAACCAUGUGUGACUGAUGAUUACAAAACAGUCCAAAUACCAGAGAGCCUUCCCUCUCCUCAUUCCUGUAGCUUUGGAUGCUAAAAGGGAAGUGUGUGUGUGCGUGUGAAUAUCUGAUCACUGUUAAGUAGACGUUUUGUACAGAUCUGAAAACCAUUGAUGCCACCAGCACAAUUGCUCACAUUUUCUUGUUCAUAAAAGCCCCUCUGGAGAUUUAGAUCACUUGUUGGUCUGGAACUAUUUCCUCUUUCAGCGCCAACUCCAUCCAUAGGAGAGCUCCUCGCCGUGAGAUAGAAAAGUAGGCCAGUGUAAAAGAGGAUAUCUGGCAUGGCCAUAAAAAGAUGGACAGGAAGAGAGAGAGAGAGAGAGCAUGCCAGGAACAUCUAAUUAGAGGAAGAGCCAGAAGAAGAGAGGGAGUAAAUCAUUGCUGGAUUUCUCAGAAGACAGUUUUGACCCCAAAUAAGUUUGUGGGAAUGAGUGGUUGCCCUUGGCAACAGUCCUUUUCGGCCUGUGACAAUGCUGUCAUCCCAAACAACCUUAAGGGGGGCUGCAAGCAGCUUGCACACCUUCAGGGGGUCCUGCGUCAGCCAAGCAACUGCCAUUGAGAUGAAUAGGAAUGUUAAUGUUCACCUUUUGACAGCAGGCUUUGUGUACAGACUGUGGGAAAGUUUCCUUUCCUGAUGAGGUCAUCCCUUCAACCCCCCCACCCCACCAGAUCUGUUUCACUCGCACACUCACAAACACACAGGAAGGAGGUAUACAACAAGGUCUUGGCUUUUCGCUUGUUUGUGCACAUAUAUAGGAUUGCGAUGAAGGUCAAGUGUGUUUUGUAUACGUGUCCAUGAUUAAAGAAAAAAAUCUAGUUUAAAAAAAACAAGUGUAAGUGCAUAGAAAUGCACCCUUCUGUAUUAAUUGUGGCUUCAUAUGAAUUUGAAAAACUUACAAUGAAUAACUCUAAAUAUAUCAUGCUGUGUAACCAUCAAGUUAAAAGCAACUUAUUUUUUUCUUACACCUUAAACAUAUAUUAAGGUGUUUACAAAUCUUAAUCAUUAUUUUUAAAAAGGUUUUUACAUAUUUUUUCAAUGUAAA